CAAUAGGGUAACCUAAGUUGGUGAGGAGGUCUUUGGCGGUUUCUUGGGCGCUACGGUAACAUCAGUCCUGCAUAGGUUGGCGGGGGAGAUUCUUUGACUCACUACACAGAUACAGAUCAGCACUGACACAUUGUUGGCUUGACCAACACUUAUAGAACUGUAUACAAGGGUUUGCGCACACGGCGGAUAGGUAUUUUUAAAUCUGUAAUAUACAAAAAACCUUC